rnacentral:lncRNA from 1 species
AAUUAGAUAACCCUUUUGUUAAAGUCCAUGUUUUGUUAAACUCCAUGUACAGAUGUGGACUGCAUACCUUAGUAACUAAACUGUAGGCAUGAUAGGUUGUCUGGUAUUUUAACAGGCUGGGUUGUCAUAAUAAGUAGACUAUAGUUUAACAGGUGUAUAGGAUUACAGACUCUUUGUGUUUCAUAUUUCUGUUUGGUGUGCUGGCAAGAAAAGCCAAGCCAGCUCACUCUCACUUUUGAUUUCGGAGAAGAAGGUCCAAUUUGGGGUGUUUCCUAACCAAGGAAAAGGGCGUGUGCCACCCUACCCAGUGCGGGGAGGUUCCUUUCUACUCGAUGCCGAAUUACGGCUGUCAACCUAGGGUCAGCCCAGAGUCAAUGUGGAGUCAAUGUAGGUCAGGGUAGCACCUACCCUCUAUGUCCAGGUCAUGAGUCAAAAUGUCAUUCGAGGGGAAUGACUCACUUCAGUCAGCCGAAGCUAUUGUUCGUCGGACUCGACCGUAAUUCUUCCAAGUUAGAGCUUCAACUUAACUCUUGUUCUUCGUUCUUCAAGGACACGUGUCUUCGCUGAUGACGUCAGUCGUGUUCUUCGUCGUCGUCGUCGUCGAUCAUCGGCAUACUUGUUCCUCGUCAUAAUCGUCCAAUCUUCGUAGUCGUCGUGGUUUGUCGAUCUCUUCUGUUUUCGAACUCCGCAUUUACCCGAUUGAAGGUUUGAUCAAGCAAU